GACGAACGCUGGCGGCGUGCUUAACACAUGCAAGUCGAACGGAAAGGCCUCUUUCGGGGGGUACUCGAGUGGCGAACGGGUGAGUAACACGUGAGUAACCUGCCCUUGACUUUGGGAUAACUUCAGGAAACUGGGGCUAAUACCGGAUAGGAGCUCCUGCUGCAUGGUGGGGGUUGGAAAGUUUCGGCGGUUGGGGAUGGACUCGCGGCUUAUCAGCGUGUUGGUGGGGUAGUGGCUUACCAAGGCUUUGACGGGUAGCCGGCCUGAGAGGGUGACCGGCCACAUUGGGACUGAGAUACGGCCCAGACGCCUACGGGAGGCAGCAGUGGGGAAUAUUGCACAAUGGGUGGAAGCCUGAUGCAGCAACGCCGGGUGCGGGAUGACGGCCUUCGGGUUGUAAACCGCUUUCGCUCAUGACGAAGCUUUGUGUGACGGUAGUGGGUAAAGAAGCACCGGCUAACUACGUG
rnacentral:rRNA from 1 species